rnacentral:lncRNA from 1 species
AAAUGCUCGAAUUUUAGAAAAUCAGCACGGCGGGGUUACGGCGGUAUUGGCCACACUGUAUGAAUGUAUUCCACCUUCCCAUUCAAAGCCUGCAGCGCUGUCCCCAGCUCUGCCUGACUGCUGAUGGGACCCUCACUCCCUGCUGAGAGCCCACCCCACUCCUGAGCAGCCCCGGGGCUGGUGAGCUCUGUUGGAGUGAUCCCCAGCCCCAGGCCCAGCUCCAGGGUCCCAGAGAAUCAGCACACCAGGCCGGUGUUUCUCAAAGGAAAGGAUGACCCCUGCACCCCACAGAACCAGUAGGGACGUGCCUGGCUGUAUUCUAGAAGCCCCAGUUCAGCUCUUCACAGCCUCCACCAGUGUAGAAACAGACCUGACCAUCCCUGCACAAACUAAGGGUGAAAACCAUAAAGGGAAAUGACUGCCUUGAAAGUCAGGCACAGGGAGCCCCCCAGGAAGGCGAGCAUGGCCCCCACAGCUAGGCGAAGCCCAUCCGAGAGGAACACGGACAGAGCGUCCUCGGCCACGCCUGCUGCCACAACCUCCCCACUGCCCAGGACUUGAAGAAAGACUGGCUGUAGCCUCAAGCCAUCCGCUUCCCUUUGCUUGGGGACAAGCUCGUCGGACCGAGCCGCCGGCUGCCACCAUGGGCAGAUACGAGUGCUUUUCAUCAGUUCUGCUGGCACAAAGGCAGGGGCUGCAGAUUCGUGCUAAUUAAGAACUCUUAUCACUGUUCCCGUCUUCCCCAACGCAGCUCUCUCACCUGGAGAGACACAUACCUGUCCACCCUCCUCCAGGCAGCCUGGGUUCAGGAGGGACGGGGAUGGUGGCUCCUGAAGGGGCGUCCUGGGAAACACGGAGGCUUUGUAAGCGAGUACUUCCUAGAAUCUGGUUGUGGUUGUUUGAAUAAACUAGAAGGUUGAAAUUGUAAAGAAAAAGGAUGAAUCCCCCAGGUAGCGCUGAGUUCUUACAGUGCGUGGCUUCUCCCCAAGCAGCCAGUGGCUUCUGGCCCCGGUGACUGGGAGGCCAGGCCCGCUCUGCUGACCCCAUGCCCGGCCUUCUCUCCAGGGCCGGCUCCAGCUCGGCCCCCACAUCUGUCUCACACACUACAAGUGCUGGACGUGUGCGGCACAGAAGGUGUGAACGAAGCUCUCGGUCAACAGGACGCGCAGCACCCUGGCAGUACUUGCUUGCGACAGGAGCAGGGUUUCCACAGAUGCCCCAGGACGCAUGGAAUCUCAGAGGAGCUUUUACAAAGGUCACCUACAGCAUGUUUCC